GGCAAAAUGGUGGACAAGGCCAGGAAUCUCAUUCAUAAAAGUGGACUUAGUACUCGGAAAAGGAAGUUAGAGUCUAGAAGUUAUAUUCCAGCAAAAGUAACGACAUUCACCGAAGAAGAAAUUGAAUCACAUAAAUUCCUCAGAACAAGGACCGAACCGUGGGAGGAAAUAGUCUACCACUGGAAUAGAACGUUCAAUUCAAGAAGGACUGAAAGUGACCGUAGUUUAGGUCUGUUUUUGGCAAAGUGGCCAAUUUCUUGAGGAUCUCUGUAUGUUCAGAUAUAAUUUUUUCGAGCUAGGUAUUUAGAUAAGAUACUUUUUAGAAAGAACUUGAUAUAUUUCACUUUGUAUUUUCUUCAGAUAAUAAAUUAUUUACAAAU